rnacentral:lncRNA from 1 species
UGGUCUCUGGUCAUAUGGGUCCUUGUAGUGUAGAUUGGCUGCAGUAGGUUCACUGUAGGAGUAGGGUAUGCACCUACAUGGAAUCUAUCGACCUUGAUAGAUGAGGAGAGAUCCUAUGUGAUUUAUAAGACUGAGUUCUAAGACCUUGGCCAGGGCAAUAUAUAUAGUGGAGAAAGAGUUUUCCACUCUCGAACUCAAGUCGAAUAAAUCUAGACAUAUGACAGACG